rnacentral:rRNA from 1 species
AUGAACGCUGGCGGCGUGCCUCAUACAUGCAAGUCGAGCGAACAGACGAGGAGCUUGCUCCUCUGACGUUAGCGGCGGACGGGUGAGUAACACGUGGAUAACCUACCUAUAAGACUGGGAUAACUUCGGGAAACCGGAGCUAAUACCGGAUAACAUGUUGAACCGCAUGGUUCAACAGUGAAAGACGGUCUUGCUGUCGCUUAUAGAUGGAUCCGCGCCGCAUUAGCUAGUUGGUAAGGUAACGGCUUACCAAGGCAACGAUGCGUAGCCGACCUGAGAGGGUGAUCGGCCACACUGGAACUGAGACACGGUCCAGACUCCUACGGGAGGCAGCAGCAGGGAAUCUUCCGCAAUGGGCGAAAGCCUGACGGAGCAACGCCGCGUGAGUGAAGAAGGUCUUCGGAUCGUAAAACUCUGUUAUUAGGGAAGAACAAAUGUGUAAGUAACUAUGCACGUCUUGACGGUACCUAAUCAGAAAGCCACGGCUAACUACGUG